rnacentral:rRNA from 1 species
CAGCAUUCAGAAGCGAGAAUGUUGACAUGAGUAGCGACAAAGCGGGUGAGAGACCCGCUCGCCGAAAGUCCAAGGGUUCCUGCUUAAAGCUAAUCUGAGCAGGGUGAGCCGACCCCUAAGGCGAGGCCGAAAGGCGUAGUCGAUGGGAACCGGGUUAAUAUUCCCGGGCCAGGAGGAAGUGACGGAUCGCAGAGCUUGUUCGACCUUAUCGGAUUGGUCGGGCCUGUGAGCGGUUCCUGGAAAUAGCCCUCCAUGAGAUCGUACCCUAAACCGACACAGGUGGACUGGUAGAGCAUACCAAGGCGCUUGAGAGAACUACGUUGAAGGAACUCGGCAAAAUACCUCCGUAACUUCGGGAGAAGGAGGCCCCGUUGGCGCGCAAGCGUUGGCGGGGGGCACAAACCAGGGGGUGGCGACUGUUUACUAAAAACACAGGACUCUGCGAAGCCCAAAGGCGACGUAUAGGGUCUGACGCCUGCCCGGUGCCGGAAGGUUAAAAGGAGGGGUGCAAGCUCCGAAUUGAAGCCCCGGUAAACGGCGGCCGUAACAAUAACGGUCCUAAGGUAGCGAAAUUCCUUGUCGGGUAAGUUCCGACCUGCACGAAUGGCGUAACGACUUCCCCGCUGUCUCCAACGUAGACUCAGCGAAAUUGAACUCCCCGUGAAGAUGCGGGGUUCCCGCGGUCAGACGGAAAGACCCCGUGCACCUUUACUACAGCUUCACACUGGCAUCAGGCCAGGCAUGUGCAGGAUAGGUGGUAGGCUUUGAAACAGGGACGCCAGUUCCUGCGGAGCCACCCUUGAGAUACCACCCUUGCCUUGCCUGAUGUCUAACCGCGGACCGUCAUCCGGUUCCGGGACCUUGUGUGGCGGGUAGUUUGACUGGGGCGGUCGCCUCCCAAAGAGUAACGGAGGCGCGCGAUGGUGGGCUCAGGUUGGUCGGAAAUCAACCGUCGAGUGCAAUGGCAUAAGCCCGCCUGACUGCGAGACUGACAAGUCGAGCAGAGACGAAAGUCGGCCAUAGUGAUCCGGUGGUCCCGCGUGGAAGGGCCAUCGCUCAACGGAUAAAAGGUACGCCGGGGAUAACAGGCUGACACUGCCCAAGAGUCCAUAUCGACGGCAGUGUUUGGCACCUCGAUGUCGGCUCAUCACAUCCUGGGGCUGGAGAAGGUCCCAAGGGUACGGCUGUUCGCCGUUUAAAGUGGUACGUGAGCUGGGUUUAGAACGUCGUGAGACAGUUCGGUCCCUAUCUGCCGUGGGUGUCGGAGACUUGAGAGGAGUUGCCCCUAGUACGAGAGGACCGGGGUGAACGCACCACUGGUGGACCUGUUGUCGUGCCAACGGCAGUGCAGGGUAGCUAUGUGCGGACAGGAUAACCGCUGAAGGCAUCUAAGCGGGAAGCCCCCCUCGAAACCAGGUCUCCCUUGAGGGCCGUGGAAGACCACCACGUCGAUAGGCCGGAGGUCCAAGCGCGGUAACGCGUUCAGCUGACCGGUACUAAUCGCCCU